AGUGAACGCUGGCGGUAGGCCUAACACAUGCAAGUCGAACGGCAGCACAGUAAGAGCUUGCUCUUACGGGUGGCGAGUGGCGGACGGGUGAGGAAUACAUCGGAAUCUACUUUUUCGUGGGGGAUAACGUAGGGAAACUUACGCUAAUACCGCAUACGACCUACGGGUGAAAGCAGGGGAUCUUCGGACCUUGCGCGAUUGAAUGAGCCGAUGUCGGAUUAGCUAGUUGGCGGGGUAAAGGCCCACCAAGGCGACGAUCCGUAGCUGGUCUGAGAGGAUGAUCAGCGACACUGGAACUGAGACACGGUCCAGACUCCUACGGGAGGCAGCAGUGGGGAAUAUUGGACGAUGGGCGCAAGCCUGAUCCAGCCAUACCGCGUGUGUGAAGAAGGCCUUCGGGUUGUAAAGCCCUUUUGUUGGGAAAGAAAAGCAGAAGGUUAAUACCCCGCUGUUCUGACGGUACCCAAAGAAGAAGCACCGGCUAACUUCGUG
rnacentral:rRNA from 1 species